rnacentral:rRNA from 1 species
UACGUAGGGGGCAAGCGUUGUUCGGAAUUACUGGGCGUAAAGCGCGUGUAGGCGGUCUGGCAAGUCAGAUGUGAAAGCCCCGGGCUCAACUUGGGAACUGCAUUUGAUACUGCCAAGCUAGAGUACAGAAGAGGUGACUGGAAUUCCCAGUGUAGCGGUGAAAUGCGUAGAUAUUGGGAGGAACACCAAUUGCGAAGGCAGCUCGCUGGGACGUAACUGACGCUGAGACGCGAAAGCGUGGGGAGCAACAGG